GACGAACGCUGGCGGCGUGCUUAACACAUGCAAGUCGAGCGGUAAGGCCCUUUCGGGGGUACACGAGCGGCGAACGGGUGAGUAACACGUGGGUGACCUGCCCUCAGCUCUGGGAUAAGCCUGGGAAACCGGGUCUAAUACUGGAUAUGACUCCAUGACGCAUGUUGUGGGGUGGAAAGCCUUGUGCGGCUGAGGAUGGGCCCGCGGCCUAUCAGCUUGUUGGUGGGGUGANGGCCUACCAAGGCGACGACGGGUAGCCGGCCUGAGAGGGCGACCGGCCACACUGGGACUGAGACACGGCCCAGACUCCUACGGGAGGCAGCAGUGGGGAACAUUGGACAAUGGGCGCAAGCCUGAUCCAGCGAUGCCGCGUGUGUGAAGAAGGCCUGCGGGGUUGUAAAGCACUUUCAGUAGGGAAGAAAAGCCGAGUGCUAAUAUCACUCGGUCUUGACGUUACUUACAGAAGAAG
rnacentral:rRNA from 1 species